UACGAAGGGUGCAAGCGUUAAUCGGAAUUACUGGGCGUAAAGGGUGCGUAGGCGGUUAGUUAAGUCUGUUGUGAAAUCCCCGGGCUCAACCCGGGAACUGCGUCCGAUACUGGUUGGCUUGAAUCCGGGAGAGGGAUGCGGAAUUCCAGGUGUAGCGGUGAAAUGCGUAGAUAUCUGGAGGAACACCGGUGGCGAAGGCGGCAUCCUGGACCGGCAUUGACGCUGAGGCGCGAAAGCCAGGGGAGCAAACGGG
rnacentral:rRNA from 1 species